CGUGAAAUUGUUGAAAGGGAAGCGCUUGCAAUCAGACUUGCACUUGGUAUUCAUCAGGGUCUCGUACCCUGUGUACUUCAUCAAGUUCAGGCCAGCAUCAGUUUGAGUGGUUAGAUAAAGGCUUAGAGAAUGUGGCCCUCUUCGGGGGGUGUUAUAGCUCUAGGUGCAAUGUAGCCUACUUGGACUGAGGACCGCGCUUCGGCUAGGAUGCUGGCGUAAUGGUUGUAAGCGACCCGUCUUGAAACACGGAU
rnacentral:rRNA from 1 species